UCAUUAUUUUGCGACAUCGCCACGUAGUUUGAAGGAUAAACAAGUGCAUUUCUCCAGAAAAUAUGGCUUACAUUCAAACGAAGAUGAAAUGUGUCCAUGUGGAGGAUGGAUAAAUGAUGAAGUUGGACCGAGUAACAAAAGUAAAAUAGCAACAGUAAUCCUCCGUGGUGUCCAGAGACAUAUGGUCCUCAUUGAAUAUAUUUGGACAUUUGACAAUCGCUCAAGAAGACUUAUAAUAAAAUUUCAAAGGUGUGUCAUCAUCAUAUGUAAAGCUUUGUUAUUGGCCGAAUAGUUUCUAGUUUCAAAAAUAAAACUGUAUUGCUGAAAUUGCUUUCAAAUCGCUGUACUGUAGGACUGUACAAAAAUUAUUUGAAGGGGAAGAUAAUAUUUAUUAUUUAUUUAUUAAAUAAUUUUAAAUUAAAAUCAAAAUAUUUUUCAUUAAAAUAUCUUUUUUUGGAAGAGCAGGGUAAGCUUGUUUCAUUUUGCUAAAUAAAUCCAGUUUGUUAAUCGCACUGAUGGAUGGUAUUGUAUAACCAAUUACUGCUAUUAGAUUAUGAGAAGCCAUUUAAUAAUAAUAAUGUUUGUCAUUUAUUAACAUUGUAUGAGUCUUCAUAGGAAUGGCUAAAGUUAUUUAUGAAUAAAUAUAUUAAAGCUCCUUUUGGUAGGAUUUGAACAUUCCUCUCUUUGGCUACAAUUCCAAGUGGUGGUAGAAAAAAGAAAACGUAGACUACAAUAGUUUUUCAUGAAUUUAU